AACGAACGCUGGCGGCGUGGAUAAGACAUGCAAGUCGAACGAGAGAAUUGCUAGCUUGCUAAUAAUUCUCUAGUGGCGCACGGGUGAGUAACACGUGAGUAACCUGCCCCCGAGAGCGGGAUAGCCCUGGGAAACUGGGAUUAAUACCGCAUAGUAUCGAAAGAUUAAAGCAGCAAUGCGCUUGGGGAUGGGCUCGCGGCCUAUUAGUUAGUUGGUGAGGUAACGGCUCACCAAGGCGAUGACGGGUAGCCGGUCUGAGAGGAUGUCCGGCCACACGGGCACUGGUACACGGUCCGGACACCUGCGGGUAGCAGCAGUCAAGAAUCAUUCACAAUGGGGGAAACCCUGAUGGUGCGACGCCGCGUGGGGGAAUGAAGGUCUUCGGAUUGUAAACCCCUGUCAUGUGGGAGCAAAUUAAAAAGAUAGUACCACAAGAGGAAGAGACGGCUAACUCUGUGCCAGCCGCCGCGGUAA
rnacentral:rRNA from 1 species